ensembl:lncRNA
GUGUUUGGCCAGUGUUAUUAGGCUGUUUGACUGUGGUGUUUAAGCACAUUAUAAUUACCUUGUCCCUCAAUCUGGGCUAACAUCAUAACAUACCUGUGACCACCACCAUGGACAAUGCCCACUCAACUGGCCUCGGGGAAGGAAAGCCAAAUUAAAUUCCCACACUAAUUAAGGAGGGGUGAGUUAAAAAAACAAACAAGUGGAGCAAACCAAACAUGGAAACACACAAGUUUCAGUCUUGUAUUCUUUUAACAAGUGGUGGAAAAUAAUCUAAGUCAUUGCUGUCUGUGCGUUUCAUUGAAGCACCGCGACAGAAGCUAUUCUGUCCGUCCCUGCCCAGAUGAAAGACGUCUGCACUAACGAGAUGACCAGUUCAGAUGAAACACAUGCUGACAAACCGGGUCGAUUCCAAACAGUGCCAGCCUAAAUUAGGUUGUCUGAAUCAAAUCAUAAUGUUGAAAUCGGGUGAAAAUGUCUUCGGCACAACAGUUCCAAUGUAUGUCUCGGAAGAAUUUUUGUGUGUAACGCCGUUCUUUAUACGAUACCUUACCACAUAAUUUUUAACCUCCAAUCCACAGUGAUAUUUAUAAGAUAUUCCUGGGGAUAUUCUCCCUAUUUGGAGAUCCAUGUAUCCGUACCACUGGUUAAAGAGAGGACGGUGAGAGGAGAGGAAAGAAAACAAGCCGGCAGUAUGGCAGUAAUCACGGACUGGCUGUCAGGGCUGCUGCCCAUGAUGGCGGGUCAAGGUGUCUGGGCCUGUGGAGGAUGGCCCACACUGAAUAACCUUAUGAGCUUCCCCGAUCAUUGGGAUUGGGAGGGAAAACGGCUUUUUAUCUUUAUGAGCCUUGAAUUCCACGAGGAUCAGAGAGAGUGGAAGAGGAGAAGGUGAGGGCGCAGGUUAUCUAUAAAGGGCUGUGGCUAAUAGUGUUGUGUGCGCCAGGAGCUGGAGACUUCAGACGUGUCAGUUCCUGAGACUACUGUGUUAUUAGAUGUUCCCAAGGAUAUGAGUAAUGGAGAAAGGAGAGGAGUGGAGAG